AAUGUAAACAAACAUUCAACGCCAGAGAAUCUUUACGUCAGGAUUGUUUUGUAUUUUAUUCCAUGUUCAUCCGAUAUUUCAUUGCUUAUAUGGUCUGAUUAGAGAUAAACAAGGGUUAUUAUUAAUUAUACAAGGAUUAUUAAAGGAAAUCGCACACAAUGAGCAGUGACGACCUUUUUGAUGCUGUUGAUGCCCUUGAGCAACAGCAGUAUCAUGCUGGGGAGGAAGAAGGUAUAGAAGAAGGUCGUAAGAAGCACAUAGCGACAGGCGCACUACUAGGAUGGCAGCAGGCAUGUCACAUCCAGCAGGAACUCUGCCGUAUUGAAGGACUUUUUGAAUCCCUUCUACUGAACUGCCAAUCAGACAUCAACCCCAAACUACAGAACCAAAUGGAAAAGCUCGUUGCGACCAUCAGGGAGAGUCCGAACUGGGACCCAGCAGAAGAGGACACCCUAGAGGCCAAGCUCUCUGCCAUCCACACCAAGAGUAGAUACAUCCUGCAGCGACUGAAAAUACCAGCCAAAGUUAUUGAUAGAAGUGUUGAUGGGGAUUUCUAAAGAGACAUAUUUCUGAGGGAUUGAAAGGCAUCAGAAACAGAGUUUGCUCAGUAGAGAAUAUUGCAGAAGGAUAAGCAGUAUUUUGGCGAGACAGGUGCCAGUCUCACUAAACGUUCGGCCCCAACAUAAAUAUGCGGUAUCCAGAGGACACAAAAACAACGCACUCCUCUGCCAUCAGAUGGAUUGGUCAGCUGCGCAAAUUGUCUUCCUUUUUGCCGAUGUCCAUGCCACAGACUGGUGGAAUAGCCUUAAUCAAGCUAUUACCUAAUUUCAACUUGAACAGCAGCUUUUCUCCUGCCAACAAUCUCCUCGCAUCCCACAUCCUCCUCGUCCUCCUCCCUUAUACCAGCCAUUUUUCACAUAGACUGCCUGAUCCUUCGACCUGAUCUGACUUCCCUUCACUUCACCAUUCGCCUGUCCUCACCUGCUCCAUGUUCACCUUGUUGCCUCUCCUUUCUCUCUUUUGUACUCCUCCUCUCCCUCUCAAUUUGGACCGGAAGAUGAAAUUCAGGAGGAUUUUGUAACUCUUUUACAGUAAAUCUAGUUUAUGCA
rnacentral:misc_RNA from 1 species